UACGUAGGAGGCAAGCGUUAUCCGGAAUCACUGGGCGUAAAGGGCACCUAGGUGGUCGGAUUGGUCGGGUGUGAAAGCCUCGUGCUCAACGCGGGGAGGGCGCUCGAAACCGUCCGACUGGAGGGUCGGGGAGGCGGACAGAAUUCCCGUGGGAGCGGUGAAAUGCGUAGAGCACGGGAGGAAUGCCAGCGGCGAAAGCGGUGCGCUACCCGAACCCUGACACUGACGUGCGACAGCGUGGGGAGCAAACGGG
rnacentral:rRNA from 1 species